GACGAACGCUUUCUUCUUUCUUAACACCUGCAAGUCGAACGGAAAGGCCCUGCUUUUGUGGGGUGCUCGAGUGGCGAACGGGUGAGUAACACGUGAGUAACCUGCCCUUGACUUUGGGAUAACUUCAGGAAACUGGGGCUAAUACCGGAUAGGAGCUCCUGCUGCAUGGUGGGGGUUGGAAAGUUUCGGCGGUUGGGGAUGGACUCGCGGCUUAUCAGCUUGUUGGUGGGGUAGUGGCUUACCAAGGCUUUGACGGGUAGCCGGCCUGAGAGGGUGACCGGCCACAUUGGGACUGAGAUACGGCCCAGACUCCUACGGGAGGCAGCAGUGGGGAAUAUUGCACAAUGGGCGGAAGCCUGAUGCAGCAACGCCGCGUGCGGGAUGACGGCAUUCGGGUUGUAAACCGCUUUCGCCUGUGACGAAGCGUGAGUGACGGUAAUGGGUAAAGAAGCAACGGCUAACUACGUG
rnacentral:rRNA from 1 species